CCUACGGGAGGCUGCAGUGGGGGAUAUUGCACAAUGGGGGGAACCCUGAUGCAGCGACGCCGCGUGGGUGAAGGAGUGCUUCGGCAUGUAAAGCCCUAUCGGCAGGGAAGAAGCAAGACGGUACCUGACUAAGAAGCCCCGGCUAACUACGUGCCAGCAGCCGCGGUAAUACGUAGGGGGCGAGCGUUAUCCGGAUUCACUGGGUGUAAAGGGAGCGUAGACGGCCAUGCAAGCCAGGGGUGAAAGCCCGGGGCCCAACCCCGGGACUGCCCUUGGAACUGCAUGGCUGGAGUGCGGGAGGGGCAGGCGGAAUUCCUGGUGUAGCGGUGAAAUGCGUAGAUAUCAGGAGGAACACCGGCGGCGAAGGCGGCCUGCUGGACCGCGACUGACGUUGAGGCUCGAAAGCGUGGGGAGUGAACAGGAUUAGAUACCCUUGUAGUC
rnacentral:rRNA from 1 species